rnacentral:lncRNA from 1 species
AUUGUUAAGAUAUAAUGGAAUUUUACUCUAGUGUUUUGUAUUCAUCAAAAUCCAUUAGGGGGUCAACAAUCUCCCCCUUUUUGAUGAUGACAAAACACUGAGUAUAUGCAAAAUUUGAAAUUUAGACAUAUACACAGUAUUGAUCAGAUAUACAAGUACAAUGUUUUGAUUUGAGCUAGAUACUAUGUGCAUCACUCAAAAUAUUCAAUUUUCAGUUCUUUCCUUGUGCAUAAGAUUGAUCUUUAUAGUUCUUAAAUGAUUUUAGCAUAUGAACUGAAUUUGAAUCAA